GUCAGGAUGGCCGAGUGGUCUAAGGCGCCAGACUCAAGUUUCACUUCCUCUGAGUGGGGAUUCUGGUCUCCGAAUGGAGGCGUGGGUUCGAAUCCCACUCCUGACA
rnacentral:tRNA from 1 species